GACGAACCGUGCGAACGUUGUUCGGAUUCACUGGGCUUAAAGGGCGCGUAGGCGGGCGGGCAAGUCAGGGGUGAAAUCCUCCGGCUCAACCGGAGAACAGCCUUUGAUACUGCCAGUCUAGAGGAAGGUAGGGGCAUGUGGAACUUCCGGUGGAGCGGUGAAAUGCGUAGAUAUCAGGAGGAAUACCGGUGGCGAAAGCGACUCUCUGGACGGCAACUGACGCUGAGGCACGAAAGCGUGGGGAGCAAACAGG
rnacentral:rRNA from 1 species